rnacentral:rRNA from 1 species
UACGUAGGGGGCAAGCGUUGUCCGGAUUUAUUGGGCGUAAAGAGCGCGUAGGCGGCUUUACAGGUCCGUUGUGAAAACUCGAGGCUCAACCUCGAGACGCCGGUGGAAACCGUAAAGCUAGAGUCCGGAAGAGGAGAGUGGAAUUCCUGGUGUAGCGGUGAAAUGCGCAGAUAUCAGGAAGAACACCCGUGGCGAAGGCGGCUCUCUGGGACGGUACUGACGCUGAGACGCGAAAGCGUGGGGAGCGAACAGG